AGUGAACGCUGGCGGCGUGCUUAACACAUGCAAGUCGAACGGACUUAAGGGGCUUGCUUCUUAAGUUAGUGGCGCACGGGUGAGUAAUGUAUAGCUAACCUGCCCUUUAGUGGGGGACAACAGAUGGAAACGUCUGCUAAUACCCCAUACUCCUUCUUGUCUUAAGAUAAGUUGGGAAAGAUUUAUCGCUAAAGGAUGGGGCUUUAUUGUAUCAGCUAGUUGGUGGGGUAAUGGCCUACCAAGGCAAUGACGCAUACCUGGUCUGAGAGGAUGAUCAGGCACACUGGAACUGAGACACGGUCCAGACUCCUACGGGAGGCUG
rnacentral:rRNA from 1 species